GAGCAUGCCUUCUAUUCGGUAUGGAGAAGACGACGGAUGCUAUCAUGCAUGGGGUAUAAAUAAUCCUGUGGGCGCAUUUAAUGAAUUCAUAGCAUUCCAUCAUGGCACGCAGCUAGCCAGUCAAGAUAUUGCAUUUGAGUGACAUGACCUUGAUGUGGCCUAUCAGGAUGGCGAUGUGGCCAUGUUUGGUGUUUAGCUU
rnacentral:lncRNA from 1 species